rnacentral:rRNA from 1 species
CCUACGGGUGGCUGCAGUGAGGAAUAUUGGUCAAUGGACGCAAGUCUGAACCAGCCAUGCCGCGUGCAGGAAGACGGUUCUAUGAGUUGUAAACCGCUUUUGUACGAGAGCAAACGCUGAUACGCGUAUCCGGCUGAAAGUAUCGUACGAAUAAGGAUCGGCUAACUCCGUGCCAGCAGCCGCGGUAAUACGGAGGAUUCGAGCGUUAUCCGGAUUUAUUGGGUUUAAAGGGUGCGUAGGCGGUCGGGUAAGUUAGAGGUUAAAGCCCGAGGCUCAACUUCGGCAUUGCCUCUGAUACUGGUCGGCUAGAGAGUAGGUGCGGUAGGCGGAAUGUAUGGUGUAGCGGUGAAAUGCUUAGAGAUCAUACAGAACACCGAUUGCGAAGGCAGCAUACCAGGCUACUUCUGACGUUGAGGCACGAAAGCGUGGGGAGCGAACAGGAUUAGAUACCCUAGUAGUC